rnacentral:rRNA from 1 species
GAUGAACGCUGGCGGCGUGCCUAAUACAUGCAAGUCGAGCGAACGGACGAGAAGCUUGCUUCUCUGAUGUUAGCGGCGGACGGGUGAGUAACACGUGGAUAACCUACCUAUAAGACUGGGAUAACUUCGGGAAACCGGAGCUAAUACCGGAUAAUAUUUUGAACCGCAUGGUUCAAAAGUGAAAGACGGUCUUGCUGUCACUUAUAGAUGGAUCCGCGCUGCAUUAGCUAGUUGGUAAGGUAACGGCUUACCAAGGCAACGAUGCAUAGCCGACCUGAGAGGGGGAUAGGCAAAAUUGAAAUGAGACACGGGUCAGACUCCCAAGGGGGGGAGGAGGGGGGGAAAUUGCCGCAAGGGGGAAAGGCCGAACGAGGCAACCCGAGGGGGGUGAGGAGGGUUUUGGAUUGGAAAAACCUUGUUAUUGGGAAGAAAAGUAGUUAGAAGUAACUGUGCACUUUUGGAGGGACCCAAAGAAGAAGGCCCGGGUAAAUUCGGG